UGGCUCAGCGGUUAAGAGCACUGGCUGCUCUUCCAGUGGACCUGGGUUCAAUUCCCAG
rnacentral:tRNA from 1 species